UACGAGGGGUCCUAGCGUUGUUCGGAAUCAUUGGGCGUAAAGCGUGCGCAGGCGGUUUUGUAAGUCAGAUGUGAAAUCCCCGGGCUUAACCUGGGAACUGCAUUUGUGACUGCAUGGCUGGAGUGCGGCAGAGGGGGAUGGAAUUCCGCGUGUAGCAGUGAAAUGCGUAGAUAUGCGGAGGAACACCGAUGGCGAAGGCAAUCCCCUGGGCCUGCACUGACGCUCAUGCACGAAAGCGUGGGGAGCAAACAGG
rnacentral:rRNA from 1 species